rnacentral:rRNA from 1 species
AGGAUUCCCCUAGUAAGGGGGACUGAAGCGGGAAGAGCUCACAGUGUGAAUCUGCACUCUAGUAGUGCCGAAUUGUGGUCUGUAGAAGUUUGUGUUUGGCCGGCCGGGUUAAGUCCCUUGGAAAAGGGCAGCAGAGAGGGUGAGACUCCCGUUCUUGCCUGGGUUUGGCCAUUUGACACUUACUUUCAACGAGUCGAGUUGUUUGGGAUUGCAGCUCAAAGUGGGUGGUAAAUUCCAUCUAAAGCUAAAUAUGGGUGGGAGACCGAUAGCGUACAAGUACCGUGAGGGAAAGAUGCAAAGAACUUUGAAAAGAGAGUUAAAGAGUACCUGAAAUUGCUGAAAGGGAAGCGAAGGAAACCAGUGUCGUGCCUGGCCAUAUUUCUCCUGCUGCUUGCGGUAGGGGCGCUGUGGCCUGGCGUGGGCCAGCAUCGGUUUGCACCUCGGGGCAAACGGUGGUUCGGGAGGUAGUUGCCGCUUCGGCGUCAAUGUUUAACCGUUCCAUCUCGUCCUGGGGGAGACCGAGGACAGUCUAGCAAUAGCUCGUGAUGCUGGCGAAAUGGUUUUCUUUACCCCGUCUAGUAACACGGACCAAGGAGUCUAACAUAUGUGCGAGUACAGGGGUGGCAAACCCCCGUGCGCAAUGAAAGUGACAGAGGUUGGACUGGUGUUAGAAGCCAGGCACAAUCCGCCGGCCACAAUCCCUCGGGAGCAAGGUCUGAGUGUGAGCAUGUGUGAUAAGACCCGAAAGGUGGCGAACUAUGCCUGAAUAGGGUGAAGCCAGGGGAAACUCUGGUGGAGGCUCAUAGCGGUUGUGACGUGCAAAUCCAUCGUAAAAUUUGGGUAUAGGGGCGAAAGACUAAUCGAACCA